rnacentral:tRNA from 1 species
UAAUUAGUGUAAACCGCACGUAAAAAUUUGAUUUUUAAAGAAGGCUAAUUAAUAAAU